GUUGCCUAUUGCGUCGAUUCGUUCAGCUGGCUAGAGAAUAACAACUGCAGAAGGUCUCUUUUGGGUCUUUAGAAAGACGAUAUUUCGGAUGAUUCGUGGUCUGAGAGCAACAGUGUGAUUCUACUGGUUGCCGUUCUCAUCUGCUGGUGAUAGCGGCCGCGCAUCUGCUACUUGGGCCAAGGGUGUUAUCCUAUAACAGACCGAAGAAAUGAGGUCGUAGGCUACGUCAAGGGUCGGUCCUCGAGCACUCCUGCGAACAAAUAAACACGGGUGAUCAAGCCGUUCUAAAAUGCCGGGGAGGUUAACACUCACAGGGCUGCCUGCCACAGUCGGUCGCCUUAACGGUCGCUCGGUCUGCAGGGAGCCACGCCGAAGGAAGACUUCUCAACAGAUCCCCUGUGAAAAGAGAGCGGAGAAUCAAUACGAGAGGCCCAGCACUACUCGUAGCGGUCGCACCUAGUGUGGAUAGGAGAUCUGGCGUAGCCUGGCGAUCAGGUGGGCAGCUACCUCUCGGAGGAGAUGACAGCUCGUUCUGCCCGGAGUGAAGCGCUGCUGGCCUUUUUAUACCCUUCGUUGAUCUCCGCCCCUCAUGCAUCGUGCAGUCGCCCUGGCAGGGAGAAGUGGAGGGUGGACUCCUGCUGCAGUGGCGACCUUCUCCUUAAUCAGGUCUGGAAGAUCUGGAAGUUCAGCGCCUUGGUCGUCCCUAAGCAUCCUCGUCGUUACCGGCAGCUCGUCGUGGAACUGGAUUAUUUAAAUUAAAAAAUUUGUCACCAGACUUGCCCCGGACCAAAUGCCCCUCCAAGUUUUUUAAUAAAAUUAUUCCACUGUGA